UACGGAGGGUGCAAGCAUUAAUCGGAUUUAUUGGGCGUAAAGGGGGCGUAGGCGGAAUUGUAAGCAAGAUGUGAAAGCCCGGGGCUUAACCUCGGAACUGCAUUUUGAACUACUAUUCUAGAGGGUAGGCGGAGAAAACGGAAUUCCACAUGUAGCGGUGAAAUGCGUAGAUAUGUGGAAGAACACCGGUGGUGAAGACGGUUUUCUAGCUUAUUCCUGACGCUAAGGCCCGAAAGCUAGGGGAGCAAACAGG
rnacentral:rRNA from 1 species